AAUCUUCCACAAUGGACGAAAGUCUGAUGGAGCAACGCCGCGUGAGCGAAGAAGGUUUUCGGAUCGUAAAGCUCUGUUGCGAGGGAAGAACAAGUACGGGAGUAACUGCCCGUACCUUGACGGUACCCGAGGAGGAAGCCCCGGCUAACUACGUGCCAGCAGCCGCGGUAAUACGUAGGGGGCAAGCGUUGUCCGGAAUUAUUGGGCGUAAAGGGUGCGUAGGCGGCUUUUUAAGUCAGAUGUGAAAGACCACGGCUUAACCGUGGGGUUGCAUUUGAAACUGGAAGGCUUGAGUAUCGGAGAGGGUAGUGGAAUUCCCAGUGUAGCGGUGAAAUGCGUAGAUAUUGGGAGGAACACCAGUGGCGAAGGCGACUACCUGGACGAAAACUGACGCUGAUGCACGAAAGCUAGGGGAGCAAACA
rnacentral:rRNA from 1 species